UAGGGAAUCUUCGGCAAUGGACGGAAGUCUGGCCGAGCAACGCCGCGUGAGUGAAGAAGGUUUUCGGAUCGUAAAGCUCUGUAGUAAGAGAAGAACGAGUGUGAGAGUGGAAAGUUCACACUGUGACGGCAUCUUACCAGAAAGGGACGGCUAACUACGUGACAGCAGCCGCGGUAAUACGUAGGUCCCGAGCGUUGUCCGGAUUUAUUGGGCGUAAAGCGAGCGCAGGCGGUUAGAUAAGUCUGAAGUUAAAGGCUGUGGCUUAACCAUAGUACGCUUUGGAAACUGUUUAACUUGAGUGCAAGAGGGGAGAGUGGAAUUCCAUGUGUAGCGGUGAAAUGCGUAGAUAUAAUGGAGGAACACCGGUGGCGAAAGCGGCUCUCUGGCUUGUAACUGACGCUGAGGCUCGAAAGCGUGGGGAGCAAACAGGAUUAGAUACCCUGGUAGUCCACGCCGUAAACGAUGAGUGCUAGGUGUUAGACCCUUUCCGGGGUAUAGUGCCGCAGCUAACGCAUUAAGCACUCCGCCUGGGNCCCNCNNNCGCAAGGUUG
rnacentral:rRNA from 1 species